GACGAACGCUGGCGGCGUGCUUAACACAUGCAAGUCGAACGGAAAGGCCCUGCUUUUGUGGGGUGCUCGAGUGGCGAACGGGUGAGUAACACGUGAGUAACCUGCCCUUGACUUUGGGAUAACUUCAGGAAACUGGGGCUAAUACCGGAUAGGAGCUCCUGCUGCAUGGUGGGGGUUGGAAAGUUUCGGCGGUUGGGGAUGGACUCGCGGCUUAUCAGCUUGUUGGUGGGGUAGUGGCUUACCAAGGCUUUGACGGGUAGCCGGCCUGGGAGGGUGACCGGCCACAUUGGGACUGAGAUACGGCCCAGACUCCUACGGGAGGCAGGAGUGGGGAAUAGUGCACAAUGGGCGGAAGCCUGAUGCAGCAACGCCGCGUGCGGGAUGACGGCCUUCGGGUUGUAAACCGCUUUCGCCUGUGACGAAGCGUGAGGGACGGUAAUGGGUAAAGAAGCACCGCCUAACUACGU
rnacentral:rRNA from 1 species